GCCAGUGUGGUGUAAUGGUUUGAACAUUGGACUGUGACUCCAGAGGCCAGGGUUUGAACCCCCAUUCAACCA